rnacentral:lncRNA from 1 species
GCCCCGAAAUUUUUAAAAUGAAUUGUAUAUUAAAAAUAUCAAAUGCGGAAGAGAAGUCAAAAAUUGGAUUAACAUCCCUUACACUAAAACCAAAAACGUGCUUACAAAAUAUAAAAGAUCAACUACCUAAAGGAGAAACUUGAAAGUAAAAGCUACGAAUAUGACUAUGGAGUCUUUAGGUGUCCCUUUCGUCGUCCUCCUGCGAAACCGGCUCGGGAACAAUGUCUUUCUGAUCUGAAAUGAUUAAAUAAGGAAUGAGCUACACUAACCCAGUAAAGACAUCACGAUAUCUCACCGUCACGGAGGUAAAGGUGGGUAGAAAACACAAAAAGACCAAUGGAGCAUAAUUUACAACAAAUUUUUUUAUCAAUAAUAAAACCUUUACAAUUCACUUGCCUCGGUGAAAUUCAUAAAACAAUAUACGAAAGCAAUAACAUCAUCAUCAUCAUGAAAUCAUAUAUAAACUGUAUAACAUAAUACUUAUCAAGCCUUUCGUAAUUCAAUCGUUACACAAUAUAUUUUCCUCAUUUACCAGCCCACUAGUAUCCAUGAGGAUUCAUAGGGGUCCCGCUACCCGUUAACCCUUAACACUUGAAAUCAUAUUCCAGGGCUGUCCCCAUACCCCGUCCGGUAUGGGCGCUAAAACUAUAAACCUCAUUACCCCGUCCGGUAUGAGGGUGAAACGGGCCGUCCCCAUACCCCGUCCGGUAUGAGCGCCAAAACACAUAAGAUCUCUAUACCCCGUCCGGUAUGGGAGACCACAAUCCCGGUAGGGUUCCCUACGGACCCGGUCCGUCCACCAUCUCCCAGAAUAUCUAGUCAGGCUGACCACAUUAUACGAUUACCCAUUUACAUAAUCUUUCAUUCUCUUUUUUCCUCAGUCAGCAUCAUCAAUUCACAUACAAACAAAUAAAACGGUAAUUUAUGCCAAACAGACAACAUACAGCAUCAAUAUCCCAGUCAUUCAAUCUAUAAUCAAUAAAACAGUAAAAUAUGCACACGAAACUAUAAAAUGAAAACAUCAAAUCUCAUACUGCAUUUAAAACUAUAAAACAGGCCAAAUAACAGUUAACCGACAACACACUAGACUCGGGCUCCAUUAGCGACCUUAAGCAAUUUCACACAUUCGUUGAUUCAUGAAAUGUCAUUUUAUCAUUUAUUGAACUUUAAUACCGUGAUAGGAAAUAGGGUGAGGGGUCCUUACUCGUUUUGGGGUCCGAACACGGCUUCACAGUGUGCCUACAGGCUAUCCCUAAUUUUUCCUGAAUUUUUUUCGGGGAACUGAAACGCACUACUGGUACCUGCACGUGUUCCAAAAAAAAUUCCAAAUUAAGCCCAGGGCCCCUUUCGGCCAAUAUCGCAAUUCCGGCAACGGCGCCGCCGCUUGCGGCGGCGAUUCGCCUCAAUUUGGCCGUUUUCGACCGUUUCCGGCCGAAUUCGGCCACACUUGCAUCGAUCCUUGCGAUUAAACAACUCUAGGGCCCUCGGGGGGCCAAAAAAUUACGGAAAACCGAAGCUUACCGGCGGCGGUGCUCUCGGGUGCGGCGGCUCUCCGGUGAAGUUCGUGUUUUGGUGAUUCGGCUCCGAUCAACUUGUAGAGAAAAGAAUGGUGAUCACGGUGAUAUAAAAAUUGCAUUAAACGGAGGUCGGGAAGGGCCUCAUCGGAGGCAAAAACCGAGGAGGGGCGCGGCGGCGCCGCUGGGUUUCGGCCGUGUUUUCCGGCCGUUUGGCCGGGAUUUUGGCUCUGAUUUGGCCACAGGGGAAAGGAUCUUAUGUGUUUUGGCGUCCAUACCGGACGAGAUAUGGGGACGGCCCUGGAAUAUGAUUUCAAGCGUUAAGGGUUAACGGGUAGCGGGACCCCUAUGGAUCCCCAUGGAUACUAGUGGGCUGGUAAAUGAGGAAAAUAUAUUGUGUAACGAUUGAAUUACGAAAUGUUUGAUAAAUAUUAUGUUAUACAGUUUAUAUAUGAUUUCAUGAUGAUGAUGAUGUUAUUGCUUUCGUAUAUUGUUUUAUGAUUUUCACCGAGGUAAGUGAAUGGUGAAGGUUUUAUUAUUGAUAAAAAGAUUUGUUGUAAAUUAUGCUCCAUUGGUCUUUUUUGUGUUUUCUAUCCACCUUUACCUCCGUGACGGUGAGAUAUCGUGAUGUCUUUACUGGGCUAGUGUAGCUCAUUUCUUAUUUAAUCAUUUCAUAUCAGGAAGACAUUGUUCCCGAGCCAGUUCCGCAGGAGGACGACGAAGGGGACACCUAAAGACUCCAUAGUCAUAUUCGUAGCUUUUACUUCAAGUUCUCCUUUAGGUAGUUGAUCUUUUAUAUUUUGUAAGCACGUUUUUGGUUUUAGUGUAAGGGAUGUUAAUCCAAUUUUUGACUUCGCUUCCGCAUUUGAUAUUUUUAAUAUACAAUUCAUUUUAAAAAUUAUGGGGCCGUUACACAUAUACUAAUAGGAAAGAGGAUUUUGAUGAUAGAUAUCGUAAUAUUAGAAUGUACUUAAUAAAUUAUGGCAAUCUAAGAGGAUUUUGAUUCCAACACCUCUUGACUUGUUUAAGUUCAUCAUGGGUUGUGACUAGAACAUUUACCCAAAUAGACAUUAAGGAGAUUUCACACAAAAAUGGCCGGAACAUUCAAUUCGAAGGAGACACUAGUUAGAUGCUAUAGUAUUCUCAUUGCAGAUUCAGAGGCUCUUUUACACCCUCAUAUUGUCAAAUACAUUUUCUAGAGAAAUAUCUCUUACACCAUCUUCACCAGACAGACCAUAAUUCUUUUAUAAAUGUGUACCACUUUUUCCCUCAUCAUCACUACAUUCUUUUAUCAAGAAAGGAAUGCCUUGAGCACUAAUUACACCCUUUUCUCAAUCUUUCAAAUUAUACUCCAUUUAUAUUUACAAAAAUAAUAUGUAUCACUAACUAAAUACGAAAAUAAUAAUAUGAACACCUUGUUGAGCAUAAUGUGACAAGCAAGAAAAUAUUAAAUUGAUUCAAAGAGUCAUUUGAGGCGUUUUGUCGAGCACAUUACGAGCAGCCUUUAUGUCUCUUCAUUGACAACAACCUACGGCCUAUACGUCUCUCUAAAUUAACCGAACGACAUAAAUUAUCACCAAACAGAAGUAAAACACAAACAAAAAAUUAAUCAUGAGAAUUAAGUGUUAAAAUUAAAAUAUAGUAUUCGAUGAAUCAUACAUAAAAAUCACACACUCUAAAUUCACAGUCUUCAUGCACGUUAAAAAAAAAAAAUUAAAGUUCGUAUGUCACAAAAUUCAUCAGUUGUGCAAUAUAAUUUGGGUUAAAAAUUUACCUAUUUUCUAGCCUAAUGCUCCGGGAUUCUAAAGCUUCCCUUGUUGCAGAUUCCUGCGUGUUGUAGAAAUAAAAGAGGAAAGUUCAGGUUUGAAGAUUGAAGAAGCUUCAGAUUUGAAGAUUGAGAAAGCUUCAGAUUUGGAGAUUGAAGAACCUUCAGAUUGAGGAAGCUUAACGAAAGAGGAACCGAGGAAUGGAAGCUUAUCGUAUAUAAGCUUCGGAUUCUGCUAGGUGCGUAACAGAGAGAAAGGAAGAAGCUUGAUGAAGGUUCACAUUUUUUGGUUCGAGCUUCGACAGCUUCUACGCGUAUACAUAUUUAAAGGUGUUAAUUGUUUGAACAGUGUGG